CCUUCUUCUGUGAUGGCACUGCAGUGGAUAGCAGCCAUUUUACGGGCUCCUGACCAAUUCUGCUAAUAUUUCACACUGAUCUUUACUUUCUUUUGUACAUAAUGUUUUUGCCAUCAUUUCCUAUGACUGGAAACAGCUUCUGGACAUCAGAACAGGGAUUGUUAACCUUGAAUUAGACAACUUUUUUUACUUCUCUUACUGCUCCGGACAUUCUGCAUACUCCGUACCAGACCCUAAUCCCCGGGACUCGAAAGAGGAAGCGCCGGCAAAAGGCAGGCAAGCGAGCCGGCACCCUGACUAGACUACGUCGUCGAGCAAGUAGUCCAUCAUUGCCUUCUGUUAUAUUGGCGAACAUUCAGUCACUGGAGAACAAACUAGAUGAGCUCUGUUCUAGGGUAUCCUGUCAACGGGACCUGAAAAAUGGUAAUAUCCUAUGUUUUUCAGAGUCGUGGCUGAAUGAGGACAUGGAUAUAUAUCGUGCUGGUUUUUCUACGCAUCUUCAAGACCGGACAGCGGACUCGGUUGUUCCCAGACCUUGAAACUGGGUAGUGACAUGGGGCACCAGCCAACAGGAGACGGAUGGUCAGUCCCAGGAGAGGACACGGCAGGGUUUGACCAAAGCACAGUCACCCAGGGUUGCAGUGUUCAGCUGCCCAAUGCUGGCUGGCACUCAUCCAGACUGGUAGACUGGUACCUCCGCAAACCCCUCAGACUGCCACUGCACAAGACUGACCAACCAAUGGGAAACAAAGGGAAGAUUUUCAUUUCUGCAAAUGGAGGAGUGGAAACAAUGGUCAAAGUGAUCACAUGGAUAAAUUGUUGUUAUAAUUGUGCUGACCUGAACAAAAUCAAUUUCCAUGUAAGUGGACAAUAAAGGUAAUGUAAUCUGAUCCA
ensembl:lncRNA